UUUCUACCAACACAGAUGGGACGC
rnacentral:piRNA from 1 species